UCCCUGGAUCUUGGCAGUAUGAGGCCACAUCAUUUCAAACUGUGAACAACAGAGGGAAUGACCAGACUCAUCCUGCAGUUUGUCCCACUUCACUGGAAUACUUAGAAAUUCUUAUGCAAAGCUGCUUCUUCCCCUUCUCCCGGUAAUAUUGCGGAUUCAAUACUUUUGUGGAUCUCACGUGGGACAAACCUUCCUUGAAGAAAUGACGUGCAGCAAUAGACUGUGUGCCUUAAGGCAGAAAAACGUAUAAAGGUACCUGGGAAAGUAAAUUGCCAGAAGCAAAGAGCACCUCCCUUUCAAAAUAGUGUAAGUACUCUUCUCACCUACAUCAAACCGAUCUUAUGCAGAGCAGCGCUAGCUGUUUUGAGGUUUGUUGGCUUUUGCAAAUAUCUCUCCUUUCAAUGCACACACGACGACGUGUGCUCCUGUGUUUAUGUGUGUGCACAUUUCAGUAUUAUCAGUUGCUAAUGAAACUGAAGAUUACAGGGGUAAAUACGGAAGACUCAUUGCUGUAGCUACUUUUUUAUUGUAAUUCUUUUCUUUUUUUCCAAAUAAGACUAUAAAACCCCGUGGGGAAAAGCCUCCUAGAGAUGUGUGGUGAGGAGUAAAGCCGAUGCAACGUAAGUAGAGAACUGUAGACCUCCACCACGCUGAAAAAAAGCCCAGAAUAAAAGUUUCGCACGAUGUAUAUACAUCUGGGGUUUUCCUAGCUAUUCCGCCAGGAAUCUCCUCUAUUCUUUCGGGAGCCCAGAACAGCAGCACCGCAGAUUCCUCACACACAAUCAAUACAUUUUGCAUAACACGAGUCUCUCUCGCACGCUCUCCUCUUCCUCCCUCUCUAUUUUGCUUUGCCCUUCGUCGGUGGACGGGGUUUCUACAAGGGGCUUUUCUUUUAAGAAAUUAGCGCCGACGAUAGAGUCUCAUAAGUAAAACCUGCUUUCUCGUGUCAAAAAUUUCACUGCAGCCCACCACAACAACCUUUCAAGCAUGCAGUUCGGCUUCAGACAGACACAGCUUGUCUUUCUCCAGUUUCUCCUCUCACCCCCUCCCUUUCUAUUCCUCUUACAGCAGUGCUUUAAUAAAGUCACAUAAGUGAUUGAAAUUAACAUAAAUCAUUAUUAGUUAUUAGGAUUUGCUCUAAAUUACUCUGUGAAUAUAACACCAAACCCCAUCUGCCACUCCUGCUCUAGCAGCAAUAGAUUGCAGAUAAAAUAAAUGUCCUUACCCCAUUAGAAUGUUCCUGUCUCUGUAGCCAAAAGCCAAACAAAAGCAAUAAAUACAGAGCUUUUUUCUCUCCACUAUUCAGCUGUGACUGUUUUCAUCAGCUCUUCCUCUAGAAAAGCUCAAUAGCUGCCUGAAAAUAUUGCAUUUUAUAUCACCAAAGGGCGAUUAAUAUUGCAUUAACUGUAUUUAACAUUUUUUAAGCGCGAGUAAUCUGAAAUGAGUAAGUUUCUGAUACUAAAUACAGGGGAUGUCAGAGCUGGUGAAAACAGCUUAAAAUAUCUGUAUAAACAGAUUAUUUGUUUCAUACUUUGUAUUUUUAUAAUGUUAUGGUAUAGUGUGCUCUGUUUGAAGUAGAAGAAGCCAUGCUAAUGGUCUGUUUAAAGUAUUCUGACACUGUCUGGAGACAUCCAAGUCUCUGCCUUCAUUAAAUGUUUAUUGUCAACACUUCAGUGAAAAAAAAAGUCUUGUGUAAGUGAAUUUCCACUGCUGGAUGCUGUCAACACUUUGUUUUAUUCUGAUCCGCGUGUACAAAAGUUUGUAUACAUUAUGCUGAAGUGAAGAGCGACAGAGAUUUAGUGAGCUAUAAUUAGUUACCGAGCAAACUUUUGUUAGUAAUUCCGUUUACAUAAUGACCAUAAUCAAGGGCUAAGUUAUGUAUAUCGGCGCCUUGUCUUCUUUCCGCGCAGCCCGUAAGAAGAUGUAUUCAUGUUAACAUGCUGUCCUCUUGUCAAGGAACACCUUUUUUAAAAUAGAGUAAAACAAACAAACUAACUAACUAACUAAAACAAAACCAAAAACGCCACACCCACAACUUUUACAUCUUCUAGCUCUGGUUCACAAUGUUAAAUUGCUUUCUUCUACCCGGGCAAGGGAUGAAAAACCGCCUCGGUCCUUCUCUGCACCCCGGUGUUUGCAGCAUGAGCUGGUGUCUGCUCCCGCUGCUGGACCCGGGAUUGGGAUGGUUUGUCCCCGCACCGAGACCCGCCCCGUGCUAGAGCCCGUGCGAGCAGGAGGGAUGGUUGGCAUUCCUACCCAACGAGGCAUUCUGGAGACUUUUAUGACUCACUUAUGAAAAUCAGUGGGAAGUUACAAUUUGUCUUCAACGUACCAGGGCCGAAUGUCUUUUUAAGAAAAUAUUAAAUUAAUUUUUAUAUAAAGCCUUUUAAAUACUUCAGUCUUUAGACUGAUUAACGUCUUACAACAUA